AGUGAACGCUGGCGGUAGGCCUAACACAUGCAAGUCGAACGGCAGCACAGUAAGAGCUUGCUCUUACGGGUGGCGAGUGGCGGACGGGUGAGGAAUACAUCGGAAUCUACUUUUUCGUGGGGGAUAACGUAGGGAAACUUACGCUAAUACCGCAUACGACCUACGGGUGAAAGCAGGGGAUCUUCGGACCUUGCGCGAUUGAAUGAGCCGAUGUCGGAUUGGCUAGUUGGCGGGGUAAAGGCCCACCAAGGCGACGAUCCGUAGCUGGUCUGAGAGGAUGAUCAGCCACACUGGAACUGAGACACGGUCCAGACUCCUACGGGAGGCAGCAGUGGGGAAUAUUGGACAAUGGGCGCAAGCCUGAUCCAGCCAUACCGCGUGGGUGAAGAAGGCCUUCGGGUUGUAAAGCCCUUCUGUUGGGAAAGAAAAGCAGCAGGUUAAUACCCCGCUGUUCUGACGGUACCCAAAGAAUAAGCACCGGCUAACUUCGUG
rnacentral:rRNA from 1 species